rnacentral:rRNA from 1 species
UGGCGGCAGCCCUUACACAUGCAAGUCGAGCGAGAAAGUUUCUUCGGAAACGAGUAAAGCGGCGGACGGGUGAGUAACGCGUAGGAAUCUACCAUUCAGUGGGGGAUAGCUCGGGGAAACUCGAAUUAAUACCGCAUAUACCCUAAGGGGGAAAGAGGGCCUAUCCUUGGAAGCUCUUGCUGUUUGAUGAGCCUGCGUGAGAUUAGUUUGUUGGUGAGGUAAUGGCUCACCAAGGCUACGAUCUCUAGCUGGUCUGAGAGGACGAUCAGCCACACUGGGACUGAGACACGGCCCAGACUCCUACGGGAGGCAGCAGUGGGGAAUAUUGGACAAUGGGGGCAACCCUGAUCCAGGCAUGCCGCGUGUGUGAAGAAGGCCUUCGGGUUGUAAAGCACUUUAGGUAAGGAAGAAAAGUCAUUGGUUAAUACCCAAUGACCAUGACAUUACUUACAGAAUAAGGACCGGCUAACUCCGUGCCAGCAGCCGCGGUAAUACGGAGGGUCCAAGCGUUAAUCGGAAUUACUGGGCGUAAAGCGCGCGUAGGCGGUUUGACAAGUUGGGUGUGAAAUCCCCGGGCUUAACCUGGGAACUGCAUUCAAAACUUUUAAACUGGAGUACGGGAGAGGAGAGUAGAAUUCAUGGUGUAGCGGUGAAAUGCGUAGAUAUCAUGAGGAAUACCAAUGGCGAAGGCAACUCUCUGGACCGUAACUGACGCUGAGGUGCGAAAGCGUGGGUAGCAAACAGGAUUAGAUACCCUGGUAGUCCACGCCGUAAACGAUGACAACUAGCCGUUGGACUUUCGGGUUCAGUGGCACAGCUAACGCAUUAAGUUGUCCGCC